UUUAAAACGUAACUUUUAUUUGUAGUAUUAAGAGCAGAUCAACGUUUCAGUCCCUCUUGUGGACUUUCAUCAGGCUCAUCAAUGAAACGUUGAUCUGCUCUUAAUACUACAAAUAAAAGUUACGUUUUAAA